rnacentral:rRNA from 1 species
UACGGGGGGGCAAGCGUUGUUCGGAAUUACUGGGCGUAAAGGGCGCGUAGGCGGCCCGCUAAGUCAGACGUGAAAUCCCUCGGCUCAACCGGGGAACUGCGUCUGAUACUGGCAGGCUUGAAUCCGGGAGAGGGUGGUGGAAUUUCCUGUGUAGCGGUGAAAUGCGUAGAUAUAGGAAGGAACACCAGUGGCGAAGGCGACCACCUGGACUGAUACUGACACUGAGGUGCGAAAGCGUGGGGAGCAAACAGG